AUUGAACGCUGGCGGCAUGCCUUACACAUGCAAGUCGAACGGCAGCACGGGUGCUUGCACCUGGUGGCGAGUGGCGAACGGGUGAGUAAUACAUCGGAACGUACCUUAUCGUGGGGGAUAACGCAGCGAAAGCUGUGCUAAUACCGCAUACGCCCUGAGGGGGAAAGCGGGGGAUCGAAAGACCUCGCGCGAUUAGAGCGGCCGAUGCCUGAUUAGCUUGUUGGUGGGGUAAAGCCCACCAAGGCGACGAUCAGUAGCUGGUCUGAGAGGACGAUCAGCCACACUGGGACUGAGACACGGCCCAGACUCCUACGGGAGGCAGCAGUGGGGAAUUUUGGACAAUGGGGGAAACCCUGAUCCAGCAAUGCCGCGUGAGUGAAGAAGGCCUUCGGGUUGUAAGCUCUUUCAGCUGGGAAGAUAAUGACUGUACCAGCAGAAGAAGCCCCGGCUAACUCCGUGCCAGCAGCCGCGGU
rnacentral:rRNA from 1 species